AACGAACGCUGGCGGCAUGCCUAACACAUGCAAGUCGAACGAGACCUUCGGGUCUAGUGGCGCACGGGUGCGUAACGCGUGGGAACCUGCCCUUAGGUUCGGAAUAACUCCCCGAAAGGGGUGCUAAUACCGGAUAAUGUCUUCGGACCAAAGAUUUAUCGCCUUUGGGUGGGCCUGCGUUGGAUUAGCUAGUUGGUAGGGUAAAAGCCGACCAAGGCGACGAUCCAUAGCUGGUCUGAGAGGAUGAUCAGCCACACUGGGACUGAGACACGGCCCAGACUCCUACGGGAGGCAGCAGUGGGGAAUAUUGGACAAUGGGCGAAAGCCUGAUCCAGCAAUGCCGCGUGAGUGAUGAAGGCCUUAGGGUUGUAAAGCUCUUUUACCCGGGAUGAUAAUGACAGUACCGGGAGAAUAAGCUCCGGCUAACUCCGUG
rnacentral:rRNA from 1 species